rnacentral:rRNA from 1 species
UUGACCUCAAAUCAGGUAGGACUACCCGCUGAACUUAAGCAUAUCAAUAAGCGGAGGAAAAGAAACUAACAAGGAUUCCCCUAGUAACUGCGAGUGAAGAGGGAAAAGCUCAAAUUUAAAAUCUGGCAGCUUCGCUGUCCGAGUUGUAAUUAG